UGAGGAAUAUUGGGUCAAUGGGCGAGAGCCUGAACCAGCCAAGUAGCGUGCAGGAUGACGGCCCUAUGGGUUGUAAACUGCUUUUAUAAGGGAAUAAAGUGAGCCUCGUGAGGCUUUUUGCAUGUACCUUAUGAAUAAGCAUCGGCUAACUCCGUGCCAGCAGCCGCGGUAAUACGGAGGAUGCGAGCGUUAUCCGGAUUCAUUGGGUUUAAAGGGUGCGUAGGUCGCCGAUUAAGUCAGCGGUGAAAGUCAGUGGCUCAACCAUUGAACUGCCGUUGAAACUGGUUGGCUUGAGUACGUACGGGGCAGGCGGAAUGCGUGGUGUAGCGGUGAAAUGCAUAGAUAUCACGCAGAACCCCGAUCGCGAAGGCAGCCUGCCAGGCCGUGACUGACACUGAUGCACGAAAGCGUGGGUAUCGAACAGGAUUAGAUACCCUGGUAGU
rnacentral:rRNA from 1 species